ACGUCCACUUCUAGCGCUGUCUUCCUCUGGACACUGCCCCAUGUGCUGGAGCUCUCAAGGUGCCCAGCUGCGGAGGGGUCUGCGCAGGGAUCUCCCCACUUUCAGGGCACAUGCUGUUAGAGGGAUUCCAAGCCUUGGAAAGUAGGGGGUUUCUCCAUGAAGAGAGAGAAUUUAAGGACUCCCAGAGCUUCCAAACUUUAGCAAAUAAAAGCUGAUCCAACAUCCAAAAAUCAAAGUCAUCCACCACAUCAACAAGCCAAAGAAGAAAAAUCAUAUUCACCGAUAGUUAAAAGUAUUUGACAAAAUCUGAUACCCACCGUGAUAAAAGAAUCUCUCGGCGAAUUGAGUAGAGGGGAACUUCCUCAACUUGAUAAAGCACGGCUACAAGAAAUCUCCAGCAUGACAUGGUGUGGUUCCUGGCUUGGCCGCGCUAGCUAUUCCACCGGCAGAAUAGUGUGUCGGUGCUGUGGUGGCAGGGGUGGGGGUAGGGAAAGCACUGAGCAUUGUUUUGAGGAGACGCUGAAAGUGGAGAGCAAAACAUUGAGACAGUGAUGGUGAGCAUUGGGUCAAAGUCAUACCAGAGUCACAAUUUGCCAGGAGCCACCUGGCAAGGUUGUGGUAUUGGUGUUGUCCUCUGGUCUGUAGACAUAGCCGUGCCUAGACCUGAAGAAA